CUGAACCAUAGCUCGGCGUAUCCAGCCCAAGGUCCGGCCAGUGACGCGGUGUGUCUUGUGUGAUGUGCACGUGUAUAGGAUUCUAUUAAUCUUCAAGGACUUACUUGGGGCCAAGAUAAACUGGAUUUCCCAAGUCUUACUCGAAGUCUGUUACCAGUAAUAUAUCAGGCAACAUUAGUGGAAAAACAGUGGACUCCGUCACUGUUUUCGACAAGACAGAUGUUAUCAGAGCUUCAUUCUUUGUUGUCUACUUACGUGGAUUUUCUCUACCAACAUGGAUCGACUUUACGCCUGAGCAAGUCUAGUGCUGACUUGCUGGUCCCAGGUCUGGCUGGCGUGGAGGGCCAUCAUGUAUCACCCACACACGCAUCAAUGUAAGUACUUCGCCUUCGUCCCACGCACAACUGACUACUUGAUACUGUAAGUUACCCAUAGAAAGUUCCGAAAUGUGUAGUCUCUGCCCUCCUUACUGUGCACCAACUUUCUGGUACUGACAAACUAAAAAAAGCUACUGACUUUUUUGUGAUCGUAGUGUUGAUAGGUAAAUGUAGUCCCAGAUGAGGGUAAACAAUAAAAAUGUAGUUGAGCUAAAAAUACUCAGCAUACCAAGAUUUCUUUCACGAUGACUGGACGACACAACACUGAGUUUGGGAACACUGGGCCGCGCUGAUCAAGCGAGACGGGACUGGAUUUACCGGGAUUGGUCGGAUCGGGCUUCGCUAAGGUUGAGUACCAGUGGAAGAUUUGCUUAGGACUUGGUGAAGUGGUAGAGAAGAAACGAAAUUUACUUGUCUUUCUUUUAUGUAAAGAUAAUUGGUCUAGUGUUACUAUUUGCAAACUAUUGAUUAUUGAUCAUCUUGUGUUCCUGAUGUAUUAAUUCUCAUGCUAUUACCUCAUAUGCUAAUUUGAUUGAUAAAAUUUAUUCAUUCUUUGUGUGUGUGUGUGUGUGUGUGUGUGUGUGUGUGUGUGUGUGUGUGUGUGUGUGUGUGUGUGUGUGCUGACAUAAUGUUGAAAAAAAUAAGCGAUUAUCAGGCUAAAAAUAUAUUGGUUUAUUAAAACUAAUUAAAAUGCAUAAAAAACAAACAUGAAAUAUAACAAUAGAGGU